UACGAAGGGGGCUAGCGUUGCUCGGAAUUACUGGGCGUAAAGCGUGCGCAGGCGGUUUUGCAAGACAGAUGUGAAAUCCCCGGGCUCAACCUGGGAACUGCAUUUGUGACUGCAAGGCUAGAAUCUGGCAGAGGGGGGUAGAAUUCCACGUGUAGCAGUGAAAUGCGUAGAUAUGUGGAGGAAUACCGAUGGCGAAGGCAGCCCCCUGGGCUAAGAUUGACGCUCAUGCACGAAAGCGUGGGGAGCAAACAGG
rnacentral:rRNA from 1 species